GACGAACGCUGGCGGUGUGCUUAACACAUGCAAGUCGAACGGUAAGGCCCUUCGGGGUACACGAGUGGCGAACGGGUGAGUAACACGUGGGUGAUCUGCCCUGCACUUCGGGAUAAGCCUGGGAAACUGGGUCUAAUACCGGAUAGGACUCCGGACUGCAUGGUCUGGGGUGGAAAGCUUUUGCGGUGUGGGAUGGGCCCGCGGCCUAUCAGCUGGUUGGUGGGGUGAUGGCCUACCAAGGCGACGACGGGUAGCCGGCCUGAGAGGGUGACCGGCCACACUGGGACUGAGAUACGGCCCAGACUCCUACGGGAGGCAGCAGUGGGGAAUAUUGCACAAUGGGCGCAAGCCUGAUGCAGCGACGCCGCGUGAGGGAUGACGGCCUUCGGGUUGUAAACCUCUUUCAGCACAGACGAAGCGCAAGUGACGGUAUGUGCAGAAGAAGGACCGGCCAACUACGUGCCAGCCGCCGCUGUAA
rnacentral:rRNA from 1 species